rnacentral:rRNA from 1 species
GACGAACGCUGGCGGCGUGCUUAACACAUGCAAGUCGAACGGUGAAGCGCCUUCCUUUUUGGUGGGUGUGGAUGAGUGGCGAACGGGUGAGUAACACGUGAGUAACCUGCCCCCUUCUUCUGGAUAACCGCAUGAAAGUGUGGCUAAUACGGGAUAUUCUGGGUCUGUCGCAUGAUGGGUCUGGGAAAGAUAUUGUUUCGGUGGGGGAUGGGCUCGCGGCCUAUCAGCUUGUUGGUGGGGUGAUGGCCUACCAAGGCGGUGACGGGUAGCCGGCCUGAGAGGGUGGACGGUCACACUGGGACUGAGACACGGCCGGGACUCCUACGGGAGGCAGCAGUGGGGAAUAGUGCACAAUGGGCGAAAGCCUGAUGCAGCGACGCCGCGUGAGGGAUGGAGGCCUUCGGGUUGUGAACCUCUUUCGCCAGUGAAGCAGGCCUGCCUCGUUUGUGGGUGGGUUGACGGUAGCUGGAUAAGAAGCGCCGGCUAACUACGUG